rnacentral:rRNA from 1 species
GCAAGAUUAAAACUCAAAGGAAUAGACGGGGACCCACACAAGCGGUGGAGCAUGUGGUUUAAUUCGACACUAAACGGGGAACCUUACCAGGGCUUGACAUCUCCGGAAUCUCGAGGAAACUUGAGAGUGCCGUAAGGAACUGGAUGACAGGUGCUGCAUGGUCGUCGUCAGCUCGUGCCUUGAGGUGUUCGGUUAAGUCCGUAAACGAGCGCAACCCAUGUCUUAUGUUGCAUAUUUCAUAAGAGACUGCCGGCUCCAAGUCGGAGGAAGGUAUGGAUGACGUCAGAUCAGCAUGGCCCUUAUGCCCUGGGCCACACACGUGCUACAAUGGCCGGUACAAUGAGUAGCCAACCCGCAAGGGGGAGCCAAUCUCAUCAAAGCCGGUCUCAGUUCGGAUUGGGGGCUGAAAUUCGACCCCAUGAAGUUGGAAUCGCUAGUAACCGCAAAUCAGCAAUGUUGCGGUGAAUAUGUUCCUGGGUCUUGUACUCACCGCCCGUCACAUCAUGAAAGAUGGGGGUGCCCGAAGUCGCCUUAUCCUCUCGGGGAGGGUGCCUAAGGUAAAACCAUUGAUUGGGAUGAAGUCGUAACAAGGUA